CUCAUGAUGAACGCUAGCUACAGGCUUAACACAUGCAAGUCGAGGGGCAGCAUUUUAGUUUGCUUGCAAACUGAAGAUGGCGACCGGCGCACGGGUGAGUAACACGUAUCCAACCUGCCGAUAACUCCGGAAUAGCCUUUCGAAAGAAAGAUUAAUACCGGAUAGCAUACGAAUAUCGCAUGAUAUUUUUAUUAAAGAAUUUCGGUUAUCGAUGGGGAUGCGUUCCAUUAGUUUGUUGGCGGGGUAACGGCCCACCAAGACUACGAUGGAUAGGGGUUCUGAGAGGAAGGUCCCCCACAUUGGAACUGAGACACGGUCCAAACUCCUACGGGAGGCAGCAGUGAGGAAUAUUGGUCAAUGGGCGAGAGCCUGAACCAGCCAAGUAGCGUGAAGGAUGAAGGCUCUAUGGGUCGUAAACUUCUUUUAUAUGGGAAUAAAGUUUUCCACGUGUGGAAUUUUGUAUGUACCAUAUGAAUAAGGAUCGGCUAACUCCGUGCCAGCAGCCGCGGUAAUACGGAGGAUCCGAGCGUUAUCCAGAUUUAUUGGGUUUAAAGGGAGCGUAGGUGGAUUGUUAAGUCAGUUGUGAAAGUUUGCGGCUCAACCGUAAAAUUGCAGUUGAAACUGGCAGUCUUGAGUACAGUAGAGGUGGGCGGAAUUCGUGGUGUAGCGGUGAAAUGCUUAGAUAUCACGAAGAACUCCGAUUGCGAAGGCAGCUCACUAGACUGUCACUGACACUGAUGCUCGAAAGUGUGGGUAUCAAACAGGAUUAGUUACCCUGGUAGUCCACACAGUAAACGAUGAAUACUCGCUGUUUGCGAUAUACAGUAAGCGGCCAAGCGAAAGCAUUAAGUAUUCCACCUGGGGAGUACGCCGGCAACGGUGAAACUCAAAGGAAUUGACGGGGGCCCGCACAAGCGGAGGAACAUGUGGUUUAAUUCGAUGAUACGCGAGGAACCUUACCCGGGCUUAAAUUGCAACAGAAUAUAUUGGAAACAGUAUAGCCGUAAGGCUGUUGUGAAGGUGCUGCAUGGUUGUCGUCAGCUCGUGCCGUGAGGUGUCGGCUUAAGUGCCAUAACGAGCGCAACCCUUAUCUUUAGUUACUAACAGGUUAUGCUGAGGACUCUAGAGAGACUGCCGUCGUAAGAUGUGAGGAAGGUGGGGAUGACGUCAAAUCAGCACGGCCCUUACGUCCGGGGCUACACACGUGUUACAAUGGGGGGUACAGAAGGCGGCUACCUGGUGACAGGAUGCUAAUCCCAAAAACCCCUCUCAGUUCGGAUCGAAGUCUGCAACCCGACUUCGUGAAGCUGGAUUCGCUAGUAAUCGCGCAUCAGCCAUGGCGCGGUGAAUACGUUCCCGGGCCUUGUACACACCGCCCGUCAAGCCAUGAAAGCCGGGGGUACCUGAAGUACGUAACCGCAAGGAGCGUCCUAGGGUAAAACUGG
rnacentral:rRNA from 1 species